ensembl:snRNA U6 U6 spliceosomal RNA
GUGCUGGUUUCGGCAGCACAGAUGCUAAAAUUGGAAUUAUGUAGAGAAAAUUAGCAUGGCCCCUGUACAAGGAUGACAUGCAAAUUCAUGAAGCGUUCCAUAUUAAG